AGAGUUUGAUCCUGGCUCAGGACGAACGCUGGCGGCGUGCCUAACACAUGCAAGUCGAACGAGUCCGGUCCUUCGGGACCGAGGCGAGUGGCGGACGGGUGAGUAACACGUGAGCAAUCUAUCCUGUUGCGGGGGACAACGAGGGGAAACCUUCGCUAAUACCGCAUGGUCAAGAGAGUCGAUGACUCUUUUGGGAAACGUGGCCUCUUUACAAUGCUACGGCGACGGGAGGAGCUCGCGGGCUAUCAGCUAGUUGGUGAGGUAACGGCUCACCAAGGCGACGACGGCUACGGGGUCUGAGAGGACGACCCCGCACAUUGGAACUGAGACACGGUCCAGACUCCUACGGGAGGCAGCAGUGGGGAAUAUUGCGCAAUGGGCGGAAGCCUGACGCAGCGACGCCGCGUGGGGGAUGACGGCCUUCGGGUUGUAAACCUCUUUCAGCAGGGACGAAGCGGAAGUGACGGUACCUGCAGAAGAAGCACCGGCCAACUACGUGCCAGCAGCCGCGGUAAUACGUAGGGUGCAAGCGUUGUCCGGAAUUAUUGGGCGUAAAGAGCUCGUAGGCGGUCUGUCGCGUCGGCUGUGAAAUCCCGAGGCUCAACCUCGGGCCUGCAGUCGAUACGGGCAAACUAGAGUGUUGCAGGGGAGACUGGAAUUCCUGGUGUAGCGGUGAAAUGCGCAGAUAUCAGGAGGAACACCGGUGGCGAAGGCGGGUCUCUGGGCAACAACUGACGCUGAGGAGCGAAAGCGUGGGGAGCGAACAGGAUUAGAUACCCCCGUAGUCC
rnacentral:rRNA from 1 species